rnacentral:rRNA from 1 species
AGUGAACGCUGGCGGUAGGCCUAACACAUGCAAGUCGAACGAGUGGCGGACGGGUGAGGAAUACAUCGGACUCUACUCUGUCGUUGGGGUUAACGUGGGGAACCUUACGCUAAUACCGCAUACGAUUGAAUGAGCCGAUGUCGGAUUAGCUAGUUGGCGGGGUAAAGGCUCACCACGGCGACGAUCCGUCGCGGGUCUGCGAGGAUGAUCAGCCACACGGGAACUGAGACACGGUCCAGACUCCUACGGGAGGCAGCAGUGGGGAAUAUUGGACAAUGGGCGCAAGCCUGAUGCAGCCAUACCGCGUGGGUGAAGAAGGCCUUCGGGUUGUAAAGCCCUUUUGUUGGGAAAGCGGUACCCAAAGAAUAAGCACCGGCUAACUUCGUGCCAGCAGCCGCGGUAAUAC